AGAUUGAACGCUGGCGGCAUGCCUUACACAUGCAAGUCGAACGGCAGCACGGGAGCAAUCCUGGUGGCGAGUGGCGAACGGGUGAGUAAUACAUCGGAACGUGCCCAGUUGUGGGGGAUAGCCCGGCGAAAGCCGGAUUAAUACCGCAUACGACCUACGGGUGAAAGCGGGGAUCGCAAGACCUCGCGCUAUUGGAGCGGCCGAUGUCGGAUUAGCUUGUUGGUAGGUAAAGCCUUACCAAGGCUACGAUCCGUAGCUGGUCUGAGAGACGACCAGCC
rnacentral:rRNA from 1 species